UUGGUGGCGACCGGCGGACGGGUGCGUAACGCGUAUGCAACCUGCCUGACACAGGGGGAUAAUCCGAAGAAAUUUGGUCUAAUACCCCAUAAUACCGAUAUAGGCGUCUAUGUUGGUUGAAAGCUUUGGUGGUGUCAGAUGGGCAUGCGUUGUAUUAGCUAGUUGGUGAGGUAACGGCUCACCAAGGCGACGAUACAUAGGGGGACUGAGAGGUUAACCCCCCACACUGGUACUGAGACACGGUCCAAACUCCUACGGGAGGCAGCAUG
rnacentral:rRNA from 1 species